rnacentral:rRNA from 1 species
AUGAUGGUGGUGGCCGCCGCCGCCAACGCCGCCGCCCCGCGAGUGGAGAUCGUCGUCGAGUUCGACAAGUCCCUGCUGGACUGCCCCCUCUGCUCGCUGCCCCUCAAGCCGCCCGUCUUCCAGUGCCCGGCGAAGCACGCGGCGUGCGGCCCCUGCGCCGCGAACCACGCCAACAAGUGCCCGGCGUGCGACGAUGGCGCGUACGAGCGCGACGAGGCGGCGGACCGCUACCUCCUGGCGGUCAGGGUGCCCUGCCCCAACCAGGCGUACGGCUGCGGGAGCUCCGUGGUGUACUGCAUGGUGGGCGACCACCGUCUGGUGUGCCCGCACGCGCCGUGCCGCUGCCCGGAGCUCGGCUGCGGCUUCCUCUGCCCGCCGCCAGCGCUCCGCGCCCACCUCGCCGAGCGCCACGCCUGGCCCGUGACCGGCAUCGCGUACGGGUCCGUGCUGGAGGUCCAGAUGCAGCCCGCGGAGCAGGGGCGGCGGCUGCUGUCCGCGGAGGGCGGGGAGUGGCUGUUCCUGCUCGUGGCGAGCGAGCGCGGCGUCAAGGUGGUGCGCGUGAGCUCGGCCGCGGACGAGGAAGGGCAAGGUAUGCUUGACGCCAAGAUGGGGAGCUGCGCGGUGCCCUCCGCGGAGGCGGCCAUGGGCGCCGGUGGUAGGUACCUGCCGGUGCCGUCCGACGUGCCGGCGCCGGAAGGAGGAGGGAUCGUCAUCCGUCUCCGCAUCGACAAGGAGGUCAAGUGCUCAAAGGUUGGACCUUGGCGAUUUGGUAGUGAACUGGUGGUGGUGAUCAAAGGUUGGACCUUGGUUGAUUCUGUCCAUGGCAAUUUUUGCCAAUGUAUCGCGCAGGCUAUGCUGCUGAUGACUGUGUGUGGCUGGGCACGUUUUGGUUCUCUGUUGAUGUCGGUUAUGUAUGUAGUCAGGCUGGGCAUAUGCCAUGUUCGGUCAUCAGCUACGAGCAGCAAGAGCUGCACCUUGAGAUGCCCAACAGAUUCUCUACUGAACCCCUUUGUCACCGUGCACGGAUGGCCACCGACCAAUUUCCGUUACAACAAGCCUCUGAAGAUCUCCAUGGCACGAGACUGCCGGUUCAUGCUGCUCGUCGACGAAGCCCUGACCAUGUUCCUCCUGACCAACACUCUGACCAGCAUCGGUAAUUGA